rnacentral:rRNA from 1 species
CGCGUAGGCUGCACGGCACGGUUCGGGUGAAAUCCCUCGGCUCAACCGAGGAACUGCCCGGGCGACGGCCGAGCUCGACUGCAUCAGGGGAAGAUGGAACUCCCGGUGGAGCGGUGAAAUGCGUAGAUAUCGGGAGGAACGCCGGUGGCGAAAGCGAUCUUCUGGGUGCUAGUGACGCUGAGGCGCGAAAGCCAGGGAGCAAACG